GUCCGGGUGACGAGUCCCAAAUAGGACGAAACGCGCAUCCUGGAU
rnacentral:hammerhead_ribozyme from 1 species